rnacentral:tRNA from 1 species
CGGCCUUUGGUCUGAAGACCGACGCCGUUCCGGGCCGCGUCAACGAGACCUGGUUCAACGCCGAGAAGACCGGC